rnacentral:rRNA from 1 species
AGUGAACGCUGGCGGUAGGCCUAACGCAUGCAAGUCGAACGGCAGCACAGUAAGAGCUUGCUCUUACGGGUGGCGAGUGGCGGACGGGUGAGGAAUACAUCGGAAUCUACUUUUUCGUGGGGGAUAACGUAGGGAAACUUACGCUAAUACCGCAUACGACCUACGGGUGAAAGCAGGGGAUCUUCGGACCUUGCGCGAUUGAAUGAGCCGAUGUCGGAUUAGCUAGUUGGCGGGGUAAAGGCCCACCAAGGCGACGAUCCGUAGCUGGUCUGAGAGGAUGAUCAGCCACACUGGAACUGAGACACGGUCCAGACUCCUACGGGAGGCAGCAGUGGGGAAUAUUGGACAAUGGGCGCAAGCCUGAUCCAGCCAUACCGCGUGGGUGAAGAAGGCCUUCGGGUUGUAAAGCCCUUUUGUAGGGAAAGAAAAGCAGCAGGUUAAUACCCCGCUGUUCUGACGGUACCCAAAGAAUAAGCACCGGCUAACUUCGUG